UGGCUCUCGCAUCGAUGAAGAACGCAGCGAAAUGCGAUAAGUAAUGUGAAUUGCAGAAUUCAGUGAAUCAUCGAAUCUUUGAACGCACCUUGCACCCCUUGGUAUUCCGAGGGGUAUGCCUGUUUGAGUGUCAUUAAACUCUCAACUUCAAGAAGCUUUUUUCUUGAGGAUUGGAUGUGGGGUUUUGCUGGAUUCUUUUUUCUAGCUUCCCUGAAAAGCAUUAGCGGGAAAAAAAGAACCAUCUUAGGUUGCUUCCCAUGGUGUGAUAGUUUAUCUAUGCCUGCGGAUUGCAAAAUCUUUGGAUUUUUUUUAUUUUUGCUUCCGAAUAAUAGUCCCAUUAACUUGUGGACAGUAUUGACCAACUUGACCUCAAAUCAGGUAGGACUACCCGCUGA
rnacentral:misc_RNA from 1 species